rnacentral:lncRNA from 1 species
UUUUUUUUAACUACACACGGUUCUUUUUAUCAUAGUCCACUUUGGUUUUAUUAUAUGUAUCAUUGAUUUUUUUGUAAAAAAAACUUUAACCACUGAUUUUAUUAAAAAAUAAUGAGUUAUCAUUUAUUUAUUUUAUUUAUUUAUCAUUUAAGGUAGUCUAUAGACUUAAAAUUUUAUAUUUUAAUAAAUAUUUUGAAUAAGACGAGUAGCCAAAGUUUUCGAAUUUUUUUUAAUAGUAUCAUAUAUUUGUGAACGGAUCGGAGGUAGUAUAGGGUAACUUCACCUAACUUUGACAAUUUAUUUGUAAGUGCGCAUUUACACCCACAAGUCCAAAAGGCAAUGAUAUUAUGUACACCUUGACCAAUCAAAAUAGUUGUUCAUAAUUUAGUAUAUCUACUGACAAAGUGACGACGAGAUGUUUUAUUAUUGUGAGGUGAUCUGGCGACCUAAGCGUGAUUCGUGGUUGACCUACACAAACUAAACAAAUGGUAGCCAGAUCUGAUCCAUAUAGUACCCUUUUUCAGUAUUUGCACGAGCAUCGAGCGAUGCGGCCGAUGCCAUGCAUGCAUGAAGCCGCGCGACAUUAUUGUGCUAACUGGGAACUAAUCAAAUUGCACACGCUACCCAUACCUACAUGUUCUUUCAGUAAAAAUGGUCGCAGCCAAACUGCUGACCGCCCUGCCAUGCAUGCACACCGAGAUAAGUGACGGAUCGGAGUGAGGCAAGCAAUCGAGUGUCUUGGCAUGCACACAGCACACUCGACUAUCACUUUGUCUGUCGCGUGCAGAAGGAAUGCAUGCGUUCCGGUUGUUCUUUCCAUCUCCUUUCCUUUUGGAGACGCACAGUGAAAAAUAUGACGUGGCCAGGGCCGGGGUCGCGGCUGAGAGACUACUUGUGCAGGUCUCCUGCUCUCGUGAAUCCAGGGUAACGCUUCCAGUUCUUCGGACACUCCGAUUCCCUCGUCAUUUCAUGGAAAACUUGCCAAUAUAUAUAGAUAUAGGCCCCACCUGACACGUUCAUACGAUGCACGUAUGAAAUGUACCACUAUCUUGUUACUAGCAACCCUAGGUCGCUAGGUUCGUACCUAUAGAUGUCCAAAUGGGCGGGUCGUGCCGGACCGGCCCGGAUUUGCUAGCGGGCCAUGUCGUGCCGCCCUACGGGCCCCAAGCGAGGCCCAAACAUGGCCCGCUAGAUUAAUAAUCGUGUCGGGUCGGCCCACGGUCCGACGGGCGUAACAGGCUCAUACCAAUAUAUGGCGUUUAAAUGAUAAAAAUAUACUAAAAUAUGCAUUUUUAGGGUUUAAAUCAUAUUUGUUAGCUCUAAACAUUUAUUUACACCCAUAUAACCAACAAAACACAUGUUUCUUGUGUUUUAUACUAUAUAUUCAAGUAUAAUAUAUGUAUUUAUAUGAAAAAUAGAAAAAAAAUAAAAUCAGACCGUGCCGGACCUAGCCCGUCGUGCCACGCCUUCGACCCACGCACGGCCCGCGUUCACUACGUGUCGUGCCGGGUUCGUGCCGGACCAAACCCGUGCCGGGUUUUGGGCCUCCCAGCAAGCCCGAUCUGUUUGGACAUCUAUAUCCGUACCCAGUUCGAAACAUAAAAAGAAACUGAUCUACUAACAUGUACGAGAUUUUUGGGGAAGUCACAAGUUAUGGGAUAAACGAGAGCGAGCGCGUGUGAUAAGUUUAUUGUUUGUAGCAGACUUUAUAGACUUUUAUGUAUCUCAUGUAAAGAGUAGUGCGCACCCUCACAUAUCGGGAGCGAAGCUAGGAUGUUACUAUAAAUGGCUAACCUGAUCAUAUCCAAUGAGCCAGCAUGCAUGGCCACACCCAUGACUAGUCCCGAGAAUAUGGGUCGGAUUUUGUGGGCCAGCACGAGCACGACUUAAAAUUAGGAGCCCAAAUUAUUACCCAACGUGAAAUAAUAUGGAGCGGGAUAGCACUACCCGAAGGCGACUCUAUACCGGGUUCAAAUUCCUGCCCUUCGGGUCCUCGGCAUGGCCCAAUGAGGCCCACAUUGUUUAAUUUCUUUAAUUUAGUAAGUUGUUGACUUUAUGUGGUCAAAUGAUGCUCACGUUGUUUAAUAUCUUUAAUUUAGAAAGUUAUGGACUUUAUGUGGUCCAGAUAUAUGGGCCGGACUUGGACCGGCACAGCCAAAGGAAGGUACGGCGUGAUUUAGUGUCAGCCUAGCACUUUUUAUGAUGACACGACACGUUUUUGGCUUGAGAUUGUUUGGUUCGAAGUAUGAUGGGUCUAGGACGGCCCAGCCCGGUCCGACCUAAUCCCUAGCACUAGCUCUGACUUAUAUUUAAAGUAUUUAGUUCUCUCGACUAAAGUAUAGUCCAUGUCACAUCAAAUUUUCAGAUUCACGAUAAUUAACAGACCUUUCUCAAACUGUUAUGUCUUCCUCAAACCAUUGGAUACACCUUUUGAACAAACCUUAGACAUGAAAUCUCCUUUGCUCUGCAGACGUCCCCACCGUUUUUGUUCCUCCCUCCACCUGAUGCCCUCGAAACUCGUCUCUCUCGCUCUUAGGUUAACUUUCUUGUUUUUUCCUCCUUUCUCACCAUCACCCGAGAACGAGAAAACAAGCAAUUUCGCUCGAAUUUCGUAGAUUUCAAACGGUUUGCAAUGUCAAAUUUUGGAAACAACAGAUUUCGUUUUUCUCGACGGAUUUCGCUGUUUUCUCGACGACGUUCGUCGUUUUCUCGGUGAGAAGUGUUGUUCGGUUUAGGAAAAUUCAAAAUUUUGACAGGAUAUAUUUGUGAAUUGUUCAAAUUACGUUGCACAAUGACUAAUAAUAUACUCACAAAUGUGAUGAACAAAAUCACAUAAAACAUACUAAUCCACAUUGAAAACACAAUUCCAGUAUAUAGAAAGUUACAAACUAUAAUACAAAUAUGAAAUAACAACUACUUCAUACAAUACAAGUUUAAACUCCAUAGUUCAUAAUAAAGAUUGCUUUGGCUGUGUAAAAAUAUAAAUUUGAACUAUCCAUGCAUUUUCCGUAAACUUAUAUGUCUGUCACAUAAAUUACACACUGAAUACAUGUAGGCCGGUAUGAAAAUAGAAGUUUAAACUCCAAAAAAUCGUAUAAAAGUCCAUACAUGUUCAAUAUAAAAGUGUACACAUUACACAUAAGAUACGUAUAGAUCUACAUGAAAUAGAUGCUCAAACACACUCGACAAGUCUAUAUCUUGUAAUUAUAUUGUUAUGUCAUGUAUGAAUUUGGACUUGUAUUGUUUAGAGUUUGGAUUUAUAUUCAUAUGAAGUUAUAUAUAUUUGGUGAGUAGUUUAUGUGAGGGAUAUAUGUUAUAUGAAAAUUGCAUGGACAAUCCGUGUUAGUUUAUGUAUACUUGUGUAUGUUGGAUCCAGACCAGCACGAGCACGCUUGGGCCGUAGUGCUGAUUGUGCCGGAACGACAAAUAGCAGCAGUAGUGUCGUCGUGCCUAUAAGGCUAUACCGAGAUUUCCGGUACAGCGGCACCACCAUACGUUUGACCAUCGAUACCUGUUGCUCCUGUGCACGCAGCAGCUGGUACGACAAGAAAUUCGAGGUGCAGAACGGAAGCUGGCCUGUAGCUUUUCGCGACAAAAAGCCCAUAUUAUUGGGUGUUGCAUAUCAUUGUACCUCCUCAUCAUGGCGCCAUGGCGGUUGCACCACAGAGUUGCCAGCCAGUCAUGAUAAUGGAAGCAACUCAUGCUCUUCUUGCAUGCAUGCAUGCAUGUACUCCACCAUUUUUUUUGUGCAUUACGAUCUAGCUAGCAGCUACGACAACUACUGGAAUAGGGGGGAAACACGAUGAAAAUUAAAAAAAUACACACACAAAUCUAAUUAAACAUAUUAUGCGAUUAAAACUCCAAACCUGAAACAAAGCUUGGGACGGAGGGCGGUGAGAAACAAAAAGCAGCGUACGCUUGUCGUAGUGUGUGACCCUGAACCGAUCGAUCAUGCAUGCUACGGGAUCUAGCUAGCUAUAGCUACUCCAAGAACGUCUCCAUGAGGUCCGAGUAGACGCCGCCCUCGUGCGGCCCUCGAUACUCCAUCCCUGCUUGCUGCUGCUGCGGCGGCGCCGUGGAGGCCGACACGGACGGGAACGCUGACGUGGACGAGGACGAGCUCAUCCGCGCGGGCAACGUGAAGCUCCUCUUGAACUUGUUGGUGCUCUGGGCCGCGGGGCUCUCCACCUUCCUGGCCUUGUUGGAGUGGCUCUCCAGGCUGAGGUACUCCUCCACGUUCUCGGCCCCGCCGUGCGCGUCCGGCGCCGCCUUGUCGUCGUCGUCCGCAGCGCCAGCGCCAGCGCCGGGGCCGCCGAAAAGCAGCUUCGCGUCGUCCGCGCGCCCGGUGAGCGCGGUGAAGAAGGACAGCCCGUUGGGCCAGCGGAGGUCGCCGUCGGGCGCGUCGCCGCCGGCCCCCACCAUCGGCUGCUGCUGGUGGUGGUGGUGCUCGUCCAUGUGCUGCGGCGGCUGCUUGUUGGUGCCGUGGUGCGCCGCUGGCGGGAGGUGGAACAUGUGGCCCUCGUCCUUGCCGCCUGGGAACGGCGGCAUUGGGCGCGCGGAGGACGGGUGGAACGCGCCCGGGCCGGGCGGGAAGAGCGGCGACGCUCCCGCGGGCGACGGGAGCUGCUGCGGCUGGUGGUGGCCCGGCCAGCUGAAGAGCUGCGGCGGGGCGCGCGCGGCCGGAGCUGCUGGCGGCUGCUUGAGCGGGAAUGGCGGCGUCGGCGUCGGCGAGGCGCCCCGCGAGGACGAGAAGAGCUGGGAGAGGAAGAAGCCCGACUGGUAGCCGAGUGACUCGAACAUGUGUCGCAUCCGCAGCACGAAGUGCAGGUCCUCGGGUAUCUGCGCGCGCACAGUGUCAGUCACACACACACGUCGCUGUUAGUGGUAGCUACGCUUCCGUAUGAGACGCUGAGAGACGUCCACGUCGUCGACGACCAAACGAAGAAAACGACAAACGAAAGGUCAAGCGUAGAUAGAAACAGGUGGGUAGAGAGAGAGAGAGGGGGGCCUUCAAUUGGCACUCACAAUCUUGCAGGAGCCCAGCUGCAGGAGGCCAUGCCCGGCUUGGAUCACAGCUAUGGUCUGCACACAACAACAGAUCGUAUUGAUUGAUUAGAAAGACUAACGAGAAUUGUGCAGAUAAAACCAAAACACCAGCUCUUGCCUGGAUGCCUGAUGCGAACUGGUCGGUCCAUUCCGGAGGAAGCUGCAACAGCAAAAGCCGACAGGGGAAUUGGGUAAGAGCGGCGCAGGAAUAAAGGUUAUUACUGCGUUGUUUCGUGGCGUUUGAUUCUUGGUGACAGGCGAUUGAUUGGUACACAGAUGUAGCAUCCAAUUCUUCUCUUCUUUUUCAAGGAUAUAGAUGGGUGCAAAAUGCAAGUAAAAACUCCAAAAAAAACCACCACGGUGCUGUCCUGUAAACCUGGCGGGCCAUGCCAACACGCACCCGGCAGGGCAGGGCAGGGCAGGGCAGGGCAUGGCUGGCAGCACUGUGCCACAAGAGAUGCAAGUACAUUCGAUGAGCAGGGAUGGAGGAGCUGCUCGUUCGUUCCGUAGUAUCAUCUACUCUACUGUGGCGUGCAUGGAAGCUUAACCCAAAGCAGCAGGGGUGGCAGAGAGACUGCAGAAAGAGAAAGAUGCAGUGCAGAGGGGGCACAGCUGAUGAUGACGACGAAGAUGCAUGGGGGUACGUUACGUACUGCGUCGAAAGAGCUCUGCCAGUAGUUGGAGAUGUUGGGCUCGCAUUCAGAAGGUUCCUUGAAGACCCAUUUGUGACAUUUAUCAGAGGCCACCUUUCCCAUCAGCCUGCAUGCAGGAAGGAGAAGGGGGUCCAAAACCCAAAAUCAGACCCACGGUCUUGAGCACAUCAUUCAUGAUUCACAUGCGUUUGCAUGCCCCAAAAGCUCGCUAUCGCUAGUACACGACGGCAAAGCGACUGACCAAGAACGACCGACCGACCGGCGGACUGACUGACUGACAGACAGCUAGUGAGAGUGUGUGUGUGUGUGUGUGACACGCGACUCUGACGACGCCCACCCAGCUCAGCUAGCGUCCUCUCAAAUCAAAUUAAAAAGGAGCCGUGUAGCCGUACCACAGCCACAGGCACAGCCGUGAAUAUGUUAAUCACGAGUUGAUCCGGCGGUUUAACCCACGGAUUGUUUUGUUUGUUUAAGCAUCACGAGGCACCGCCCCACCCGCAACCAACGUGUCCCUCACGUGACAGCGCCCGUCCUCAGCCGCGACUUGAAAAUUGCCCGUCAGGCCGUGUCGAGCUCGCCGCCCGUACACCGCAGCAUAAUUACCGCCUACUCCCACGCGGGUCAGUACUAAUUACUAUUAAUUUCUAGUAGUACCAUUACCAGGCACGCAGGUUAAUACUACUACUUACUACUGGAGUAUAUCAAAAGCUCUGCGCGGUAAGAACGGGACAGAACAAAGUGAAAAGAUGAAAGCGCACGCAGCCAUCCCAUCCCAUCCCGCCCCGGGGCAUCCUGCUUUCCUCUCUCUCUCUCUCCUCUCUCCUCCGUCCAAACCAAAUCAAGCUGCGCACUAAUGAAGGAGCUCUCGACUAUUAGCGUCAAUCGCACUCGACGCACAGGGUUUCCUCUCAGUCCUAAUCGGAGAACAGGGAACAGCAGCGCCACGGUCUCGCGCGAAGUUGCCGGGCUGAUUAGAGGAGGAUGCCGGCGGCUAGUCGGUGCAGUCACUGUCACCUACCAGCCACCACCACAGCGGCUAGCUUAGCACGCUUCUACCUACGGUCGUCGUCGUCGUGGAGCCUAGCUAGCUAUAGCUAAUACUAGCGCUACAGCAGCCAGAGCCAGCCAAGCUAGCUAAUUAAGCCGGGGGAUUGGGAAGAGAUUGCACACGACUCAACUCGACUCGAUCGAACGCGACUGCCUGCCAUGCCUGCGUGCGUGCGCCGCCUGCACUGCACCUACCCAGUCGUAGUCCAGUACCCACCCUUCUCCGUAGUUGUAGAGCUGGAUGGACAUCUUGAUGAAGGCCUUGCGCACCGGGUCCUCGCCGUCCAUGUCCUCCAGGCACUCCGCCACCCGCGGCCGGCAGAAGCCGUCCUCCCACAUCAGCAUCCUGUCAGCGCACGGCCGGCCGGCAGACGCGACGACGGGCGGAUUAGUAGCUCGAUCCAUCUGGCUGGCGAUGAGCACCGGCAGCAGCAUGGCAGCGCGCAGCGGCACAGGCCGGAAACAGACAAUCAUCAAUGCAAGGAAUUGAAGGCACACUCACAGGCUGCCGUUGUCGUCGCCGACCUUGCACCCGUUCCCGCCGCGGCACCGCCUGCAUGCAGGGAAAUAGUACACAGUCAUCACUCGCUGUGCCUGUGAUGACAAACUGGGGCUUGUGUUGUGGGCUUAGACGGCGGCAUAAUAACAAGCAGAGAAGAGCAAAGACAAUAGCUAGCUAUAGUAGGACGGACGAGUUCAUUCGUCGGUGUCCGGACGGAAUAAGGACAGGGAGAGGCACACAUCACAUACGGGCGAGGACGGAUGGUCCAGAAGACGGAGUACGUCCAGUCCGAGCUGAGGCAGACGUUGCGGAGGGCCUCGUGGAGCGCCAUCAUCCCCGCGGCCUCUUUGCUCCGCGCGUGAUCCGCUCCGCCCCCAGCCGCGCCGGAGCCCACCAUUUUGCUGCCCCCACCCCUGCCUGCAGCUGCCGCUCCCUCGCUUCCGCCUGCUCUACCGGCCUUGUUACUUCCACCUCUCUCUCUCUCAGCGCUAGCUAUAGCUAGCGUUGCCGUAAAAACGCUUCUACUGCCCUGGGCGGAAGCGGAAGCGGAAGCUAGCUCUCGGAGUCGGACGAUCGAGCUCGGCGGCUCUAGCAGCUACCUCUAGGCCGGCCGGUAACCUUUCUUGAUCGCCCUCUCCUCCGGUCCGGUCUUUCUCCCCACCACAGCUGAGCUGAGAGGCUAGCUAGCUAGAGAGUAGAGAGUGAGGGUUAUUGUUUAGCUAGCGAGCCCUCCCUCUCUCCCGUGUCUCUUCUCCGUUUGCGGCCUGUCUCUCUCUCUCUCUCUCUCUCUCUCUCUGAUUGCUGUUUUUAACUUGGGCAAGGGGAGGGUAAACCGAAAGGCGAGGGAGGGCGGAGAAGAGUCACGGCACCCCAUGCAUGUUUUCUUGGUUUUUUUUUUCUCCUCUCUGUGAAUUGGCGGGCGGCCCAGAAGUUGGCAGCGCCAAAAGUAAAAGCGGCCCGCCCGGGUCCCCCAUCCCCUUCUACGGCCAGCUUUAUUUUUCUCUCUGCCGCUUGCUUACCCAUGCCACGCUGCACCGCUCCAGCAGCCGGGCUCGCCGCUCGCGCCUCGCAGUCGCAGCCUGCCUCGGUAUUGCGGUGCGACCGUGCGACGACGAAACGCGCGCACCGCGCAGAACGUCUCGCGCAGGCCCGGCUGGGACUGAGAGAGGCAGCGCCAGCGCGGGGAUUUUGCAGGAGCUCAGUAAAGGAAAGUGCACUAAUUUCUCUCCUACAAAAGCUACUGCAAAAUCCCAUUAAUAACAGAGAGAUUUUGCAGGAGCUCAUUAAUAAUUUAUUUAAACCCUUCCAUUUUUCUAACAGAUUAUCAUUUUCCCUUAGAGAAAAUAAACUAUUCUCUAGGGAAACUUUUCAGUAGUUUCCUUAGAGACAGUCCGGUGCCCCACAUAAGGGAAAGGCGGCCAAUCAAGGAUCUACUGACCAUUGUGUGGAGGCGCACUGGAUAUUUCGGUGCCCCCGCAGCUAGGGCAACUUUUCAGUAGUUUCUAUUUGGAAGGGGCAACGACUAGGGGCUCUCUUGUGAGCUGUAAAGGGGACUUCUAGUCACCCAUUCGAAGUACACAAGUGAAGCAAACAAGUCCAUACAUCAAGUGAUUAUAUUCUUUCUCUCCUUCUCUUUUGUGUCUAUCUAGUUUGUGUAGAGGUGCAGUUAUAAGCCUUAGAGAGAGAGAAAGUGUUGUUGAGAGCAAGAGAAAGAUCUUGAACAUUGUUACUUUGUUGGAGUGUUGUCGAAAAGAUUGUAAGCAGUCGCGGCGUCGUUGUAACUGAUAAGUGACAUAGUGGAAGGCUCUAUGUGUCGCAUUGACAUUACUGAGAAAAUGGAGGAAGGAGUUGAAAGAGACUCCAAACCAAUGUGUGGCUAACUCAAACAAGGACUAGACAAGCAUUUUAGUCUUGGUCGAACCUUAGGAUAAAUCAUUGUAUCGUGCUCUACUCUUGGUUGUGUGAUGUCACUCUAUCUUAAUUGAUUUUAUACUUACACCUCAAAACUUAAUUGUGGUGUAAGUUGUAUUUGAAGUGCAGGGUAUUUUGAUACAUGAACUUCAUUUCCGCUGCAGCCUACUCGAAGUGUCUUUCAUUCAAUUGCAAUCUAGUAUUCAAGUAGAAUAAGAAUUUCUAGUUAUUAAGUGUUAAUUUUUAUUCUCCUAUUCACCCCCUCUAGGCAACAUACAUAUUAUGUUCCUAGACAAAGGGAACUUUCACAUGGUUAGAUAUCAAUCACUAAUUUAUUGAGAACUAAAUGUAAUGGUACCUAUGAAAUGUAUCGGAGCCAUCUGUGAUCCACCACAACUAACACCACCAACGUUAACGCCAGCACCGAUUUUUUUGCAUUUUGGUCCUUCAUCGGAAAAAAAUUCACGUUUGGACCCUAAAAAAUUUUAAUGUCAUUUUUGGACCCUUUACUCGGCGCCGUAGCCUGUGGCGCCGAGGUAACACAGCUCGGCGCCAUAGGCUAUGGCGCCGAGGUACGUGCUGCGUUGGCACAAACAGCUGUCGUGGCGCCGACGUGGUACCGAGCUCGGCGCCAUAGAUCAUGGCGCCGAGCUCUAUUCUAUAUAGAAAACUUGUCUAGCUCAGUUGGUAAAAUAUAAGACUCUUAACCCUAAGGUUGUGGGUUCAAACCCCAUGGUUGGCGUUUUUUAAUACUUUUUGUAUUUGUCACUUAUUUAUUUUUUUGUUGUCCAUAUUUUUCGUUUAUGUCGCUGAUUUAUUUGUCCUGAUUUAUUUCUCAUCCAGUUUUAUUUUUGUGACUGAUUUGUUUAUUCGUUCAGAUUUUUUUAUCCGGCGAGCACAGCAGCUGUGUGCCACAGUGCUCACAAGCCGUCAACUUCUCUCCUUGUUUGCUCAGCUAACCACAAUAAAAAUCAAAUGAGAACACUCUUACUUCAAUCGUGAUCAAAUAAAAAUAUUAUAUUUUCAUUGAGUUCUUUUGAACAUAAAUUUUAAAUACAUAAUAACAUAUUCCCACUAAAAAGAAGCACACAUAUUCAUCUUUUUUCUUCUGCACUAAAUAAAAGUAUACUCCAUUAUAUACUUGUCUCAUAGAUGAUAUAUUUUAGAAUUUACUGCAUAUACAGCUGCUGUGCUCGCCGGAUAAAAAAAAUCUGGACGAAUAAACAAAUCACUCACAAAAAUAAAAUUGGAUGAGAAAUAAAUCAUGACGGACAAAUCAACGACAUAAACGAAAAAUAUGGACAACAAAAAAAUAAAUAAGUGACAAAGACAAAAAGUAUUAAAAAACACCCACCGUGGGGCUCGAACCCACGACCACAUGGUUAAGAGCCAUGUAUUUUACCAACUGAGCUAGACAAGUUUUUUGUACAGAACAGAGCUCGGCGCCAUGAUCUAUGGCGCCGAGCUCGGUACCACGUCGGCGCCAUGACGUCCGUUUGUGCCAACGCAGCACGUACCUCGGCGCCAUAGCCUAUGGCGCCGAGCUGUGUUACCUCGGCGCCACAGGCUACGGCGCCGAGUAAAGGGUCCAAAAAUGACAUUAAAUUUUUUUAGGGUCCAAACGUGAAUUUUUUUCCGUUGAAAGACCAAAAUGCAAAAAAUUCGGACGCCAGCACCACUAACUAAUCAGCAUCGUUAGCCGAUUAUCAGCAUUAUCUCCCUAACCCUAGCUCCUAGUUAUUGACCGUCCAAUCAGAAUUAUCAUCCGAUUAAUCGGUUUCACCGCCCGGAUAGCCGCUUCUCAUGACUGAUUAACCACUUGUAACCGGCGGCUCGUCAGCCCAAAACGUAACCGCGUGGUGCUUGCCUAGCCAGAUAGUGCACUCAAUAAAUCGGUAACGUCGACUGAUUAAUCGGUACAAAGUAGCGGCUUACCGCUCAAACGGACGAGCAGGCACCCCACGCGGUUAACCGGCGUAGCCGGCCGCCGGCCAGUUAGUCGACGACGCAUGCCGGCUACGUCUUCUCGGACGACGGACGAGAAUGGAGCUUGGGCGGACGCAGUUUGGCGGCAGAGGAGAGAAAGUGGCCUGGGCAAGUGACGAUGCAGCUUAGGAUAUUAAAUGUGUGUUCUGGGUCAUAUGGACCUCGGUCCGGUUAGAAGACUUUUACUUUUUUGUUUUUUCGAAUGUUGUUUGAUUUUUAGUUUAAAUUUGGUUGCGUAUUUUUGAAUUUGGUUUUAGCCGAAACUCAUGAAAUAAUCCAUAGUAUUUAUGAAAAAUUUACAUCGUUUUUCUCCAAAUUUAUAAAGAAUCUCAAAUUCAAAACUCAAAACGGGUUACAAGAACCAAUCAGCCGGGACCGAUUUCCGGCUAGCCGACCGGCUCCGCAAUCCUUGUACAUUGGUCUUGGAGCAAAACUUCCGUAGAAUUGUGGAGAAGGCAUAGUUAAUUUUGACGUAUCUCUGUUUAUGCGGAAGUUUUGAAAAAUGUAGUCGCUACAUCCUUAAAUAAAUAAAAUUUAAAUUUUUUUGACUAAAAUAAACAAUAUUCUACGUGAAAAUGAAACACCAUCUUCUAAUGCACAAACUAUUCAUAGACACAUGCAAUACAUCAUUAUCAAAUUCAAGAGAUAUCCACAGUGAAAGGUAAGAAUAGUGCAUAGAGGUACAUAUGUUCUUAUCAAAAAAUUUAACCUGUCCAGUAAUUUUCAGAAACUUGUUUGUUAUGAGACCAAGGGAGUAUAAAUUAAAAGAUUUUUAAAUAAAAAGGUAAAUUGCUAUUACACAGUCAGUAUAGAUAUAUUGUAAUCUUGCAUUUAAAUGUAUAUACUUAUCUAAAUGAGAACAUCCAUAAAUUAUUGUUAUGUAUAUUAAUAUAGUUUUCUUUAUUUUUUACAUUUUUACAAGUUCUUAAGUGAACAUCCAUAAUGUAUUUUAAUUACUCAUGCACGCAAAUAUAGUUGAGUUGCAUGAUAAAUCUUGAGAAAAAAAGAAAGACCCUAGAGAGAUGAGUGUAAUCUAUAACACAAAAUCUAAAUAUUAAUAAUUUUAGCGAUAAUUUCUUGAAUAAAUUAUUCGUAGAGUAUCAAGUUUCAACUUUGCAAUGGGAAGGAAAUUUGUUAAAUUAUUAGAGUGGCCGAUGGUUGUCAUUUCUUUUAAUUUUAAAGAGUCAUAUUCCUUCCUCCACUGCUGUACCUAUUCGAUGGGAGGUGCAGCAUAGAAUGCAAGGUGGGGUUUACUUCUUCCUCCCCUCUAUUCUCAUCUCUUUUUUCUCAUCCAUCUUCUUCCUUCUUCAACAAAAUAGAGGAGCUCAAGGGGAGCUUCAUUGUGUGGGAGGUGGGAGAGAGGGCUCCACCUCUGCCCACCUCACCCUUGGAUCCACCCCUAUAGCCACUAAUUAGAGUGUAUUGAAAAAUAUCUUUGAUGAUGACUUUGGCAUAGAACUCUAUAUGAAUAAAAGUAAACUCAAAGUAUCUACUUCAUCCCUCCUAAAAUAUACGUAGUUCCAAAUUUAUCAAAAGUCAAAUCAUUCUAGGUUUAACUAAAUUUACUAAGAGUAUUAAUAUCUAUCAAACGAGUAAAAUAGUAAAUAUAUUUGAUUAUGAGCUCAAUGAUGCUACUUAGUCGAAAGCAUAUAUAAGUAUUACUCCCUCUGUUCCAAAUGAAAACUUGUUGUAGAAUUUUAUUUGUUUCAUAUACUAUUUGAUGUAUGUAUUUUAUAAGUGUGUCUAGAUUUAUCAUCACUCAUUUGAAUAUAGGCAUAAAAAGCAAGACCUAAAAGAAAUAAUCAUUUGGGAUGGAGAGAGCAUUACCGUUUCUAUAGAUUUUAAUGAAAUUUGUGAUAUUUUGAUUUUGGGUAAAUUUAAGUCUUUAUAUAUUUAGCACAUGUAAAAAGCUAUUGUAAUAAUAGAUAUUCGGUACUAUGACUUCAGUAGUUUCGCUUGGAAGCUGGUAAUUAUGAAAGUGUGCUUGUAAAUUCCAGAUUAGGAAGUUGCUUUGGCGACGACUUUAGCUAGGACAGGGGUGCAACGUGCGCACGUGCGUGGCAGCUGAGAGAUGCCUCGUCAGUGUCAACCAUAUACAAUGGCUAAGCCGUACUAGUGGUAGGUUUCGUUACUUUGACAAUAGCAGUAGUAAGGUAUGCUAUUGUACACACCCUUCCAAAACACCCGAAGUAAAUUGUUAAAAGGACAUCGUUCGGUUUGAACUGUACAUUUGUUUAGAGUAUAUCUAUAUGUUGAACCAUAAAUUUUUUGUUGAUUUUCGAAGUCACAAACAUUCUAAUUGUAUUAGUCCCUUUUUUUUCUUCGAAGUUCUCGUGCAGCUUGACAACAUCUUAAUUUACUUCGUUUUUGCGAGUGAAAUAUAUAUAUGCCAAUUUGAUUUUUAUAUCGUUUUGCACACCGUUUCACAAAAGAACUAACUUGAGCCUUGAGCUACUUGGGACCCCAAGAUGGGCAGCCAAUGAUGAGACCAAACACCAUGAAAAGCAUGCAGAUUUGUUUAGACCUGGAUUUAGCCUAGUUAAGCUACAUGAUUAGGGUGAAGUAGCCAUAAUCUGCAAGUUGAUAGUUGCAGCCAAGUAAAUUAAUUAUAGAAUAUUUUUUAUAAUAACUUUAUUUAGAGAUGUUGAUAUUAAUACUACUUAUAUUAAAUUUAGAUGACCUUGAGCUAGUUUAAUUUUUUACCGAGCGUACCACUUCAUCCAAGAAAGCUACAAUAUCAGCCUAUUCGCUGCUUAAAGUUAAUAUUUUAAAAUAAAUUUACUGUGGAAAUGAACCAUAUACUUUAUUAAUAUUGGAAUACGUUGCUAAUUGGAAUAUAAAUUGGCGCACGGAUCAGAAGGAACCGAUGAAUUUGCCUCCCUCUGUCCGUGACGUACGCUGCUUAAACUAAUAGUCCACCGCCUUCACUUUGACUGCCUGCACCCUGCUACCCUGCAGCCCCUUGACCGAGACAGGAUUCUCUGUGGCCAACUCGGCCUCUCAGGUCCACCGCUCUGACAACUAUGUGCUUUCUGUUCCUCGACUGAUUUCUAGCCUUGGACUAAAACUAUAUAAAAACUACAUAUUCUCUAUUCGCUCUGACAACUAUGCGCUUUCUAUAUUCUCUACAUUUUUUUACCGACUCUACUGAUCUAAAACGAGAAUUACUGCCGAGCGUACAGCCUACUCACCUCGUCGAAGAAAGCUACAAUUAUAAUUUAAACAAGAUUGUUUUAAUGUUAAUUAUCCAAUUCUAUAUGAAGUACGAAAUUAUUGAUGUGAGUGCGUCACUAAAUCGAAAUCGAAUGCUUGCCGGACUGCUCUUUUUUCUCGAAUCCAAAAGGAGCUGCUUCUGAAGUUUAUUUUCAUCCAAAAAUUGAGUCUAUUUACUUCAGCUUUUUCUGAUUUUAGGCACUCAAAGCUCCUGUAGACAUACAAACGUCUAGCUUUUCAUCCUAUUUUUAUAAAAGUUGCCUAGCUGAAAAUGGUCCAAAAUCAAUGUAAAAACACAAUCGAUCGAGUCGCCGCAACAGAAAAAUAGGUCACUUUCUAGAUCUUAAACUAUAUGGUCCCAUUUAUUCCUCUUCACGAUACUCAGAUUUUCUUCAAGACAGAUUCUCAAAAAAUAUCGUCAGAAAAAGUUGAACCAAACAAGCUUUGUUAACGCGAAUUAGACAUUUAAAUAGAAAAUAUAACAAUAUACCCACCAGAGCCCGUUCUCGGAAUGAAGCCCGGUUCAGGUUCAUCGACAAAUUGGCCUAUUUAAGAAGCCGGACGACGCAGGGAGGCAGCCCAGCCCAAUACUGUGAGCUCUCGUAACCCAACUUAAACUUGGUUUUUUAUCGUGGCCCAUGUAGAUGGUGCGUGCAGUUUGCCCUUGCGAAGUCUUACAUGCGUUUUUUUUUUGCCCGGAAAGAUUCCGAUACCCACGGUCAAGUAAGCGUAAAUUUGAACUAUGGACCAAAUGUCCAAAUCUGCCUUGGUUUAUGUCCAAACGUUGGUGAGAUUUUUAUUAAAAAAAAACUAGCUCCCCUUAGAGCAUUUACAACAGGAGCCCUAAACGGGGUCCUAUUUUCAAAUUUAUGGUGUUGCUCCCUACUUGUCUGUUCAAAGAUGCAGCCUUUAGUUUUGAUAGCACCACACGACACUGUUUGUUACUAUAACACUUUAUAGCAAGAAAAAGGAAAGCUCGGGCUCUAAUAGAAUCGAACUAAAAAAUGAUGAGUAGAACGGACUCCAUAUUUGAGGCUUUCUUCAACUGCACCAUGGAGCUGAGAAUACUCCUCCAAUCAUAUCAUAGGUAUGUGUUUGGAAGUAAGAAGAAUGGAGAGAUUAAUCGGGCUAAAAUCCCUCAAGUUUCGACCAUUUCUCUUAUGUCUAAACAAACCUUAAUAUUAAACAGAUCUUGACUCCGAGAGAAACUAGUUAUAAAAUCUUAAAAAACACGAGAUGGCAUAAACUGUCGAGCGACCCCAAAAUGUCAUACUAUACGCUUACUAUUGGUCAAUGUAUAAAAUGAUUUUUUUUUGGGGGGGUGUGGAGUUCUUACAUUUUUACAUGUAGUCACGUAUUUUAAACUUUAGUGGCUACUUUGAUUUCUCAGUUCUAGACUAUGGCACAUUUUAUCGUCUUUAGUUAUAUUUCUUUUAUUGUAUUUCUAAAUAUAGCGUUUAUCUAGCUACGUAUCAAGAGGUUAUAUACACAUAGACCUCAAUCAUUGCCAAUCUCCAUCAUCCAGCCAAGCACUUAAAACCAUUGUCUGCACAAAGAGAGUGGUCACAUAUAUCUUAAUAGCUUAUUUAGGAGCAAGAGAACUAGAGACGAUUGAGAAGGCUAAAAACUUUAUUAUUUAGAAAUUGAAUAGAAAGUGAUUUUAGCUCACUCAAUCCCCUAUAAUCACUUUGCUUGCUUCCAAAGGAAGCCCUAUAAAGACUCACUCGGUUUACUCUUAAUCCAUAUAGAUGGAAGAGAAUUAUGUAUUGAAGAUAAUUAUAUGGGUAUAAAUUUAUAAUAAGUCCAUCUCUCUUAAUUUAUUCUAAUCCGAUCUAAUAUUUAUAUAAUUAGAAUAACCGAACAUUGUAACAAGAUAUACAAGUGUCUCUGGCCGGCCGCCCGUGCACACACCAUCUCGCACGGCUAAUUAGCAUUGUGAAACAUAAAACACGUCACGUCACGUAGCUCACGGCAGCACCAUGCCAGGGAUCCGUAGACCAUGUGCACGACGUUGCACUCCGCUCUGGCAGCGAAUUGGUGCAUGCGCGGGGGAGGGGUGCUCUGGACGAACAGCAGCGUGGGCCCUAGUCACGCACGACGACCGCACGGGAGCUCAUUUUCGCAGCGCGCCGUCGGUGGAUCAAGGACCCAGCCGAACCUACCCAAGUACGUACCGCCCGGCUUUUAAACCCGGCGGCUCGUUUUACCACCUGCGGACUGCGGUGAAAGUAAAACAAGCAUCCUCUCCACCAUUACCGACACAGGACACCAGAAGUGGUAACUCCUUAAACGAAAACAAGCCGCCCAACAAGAUAGGCCUAAGCAGCUAAGCUAAGCUUUCCUUAAAUAUACACUCAUAUGUACAGUUUACAGCUAGCCUGACCAGUGGUGCACCCCACUACUCUGCUGACCCCCUUGCCCAGCGCCAGGCACCAGCGGCCAGCCCAGCCCUGAGCCCUCACCUGCUCGCCACUGCUGCCUCGUCACAGUCCGAUGGAGCAUCAGCACGACGGCGCCUCAUUGAGGUCGAAGGGGAGACCGCCGCACCUUCGGCCCGUGCCCAGCUCCAGUGCCGUUGACGGUGUCUCGGUUGCCGGGGCCGUCGUCGGUGUCUGGAAGCAGACGAAAUGCCACGGAGAAGCGCAGUCGACGCCGACGCCUCCGAACGAGACGUGCUGCGGCGGCGGGUGUUGGCGCCGACGGAGGUGCUGCUGCUGCAGCUGCCCCUGCCCGGCGUGGUCGUCAGGGAAGUUGGUCCUGGCCUUGGCGCCGCGGAGCGUGCGCGCGGCGCGGUCGUACGCGAGGGCGGCCUCCAGGGGGGUGUCGAACGUGCCCAGCCACACCCGCGUCUUCUUCCACGGGUCGCGGAUCUCGGACGCGUACCUGCCCCACGGCCGCUUCCUCACGCCCCUGUAGUGCGCGUGGCUUCCUCCUCCUCCUCCUCCCUUCGCCCCGCCACUGCUGCUGUGGCUCAGCACUGCCCGUGGCGUGGGAUCCAUCUGUGACCGAGAGCUGAGAGGUGUAGGGCUUGUUGGGCUACAGGUACAGCAACGUGCGUGUGGUGUGGUGGUCUUUCCGCAAGGUCAGGGACUGAAGGCUGAAGAAAAUGGAGACCACUGUGGGGAGCAGUUACGUCGGGCUUUUGUGAUCCGGACACGAGAAAAUGGAGCGGGUCGUUCGUAACCGUAGAGAGACAGCAUAUCGGGUUGGGAUUGGGAUCCGGAGCGGGUGGCCGAGGGAGGAGACACGGCACAUCCGCCGCGACAAUUGACGUGUCGCCGGGACCACCCGUAACGCUGUGCUGUGCACGGUGCACACCCCGUCUCCAUCCCCCAUGUGAGUGAACUCUCGCGUCAAUCGUGACGCCAGCUCUGCUGCAUAGCGUGCAAGCUAGCGGCGCCGAAAGGAGCAGCAACCUUUCCAGCCGCUUCGCUGGGACCCACGAGCCAGUGAAACCUGCAUGCAUGCACAUCCCUGUCGCCCGCUUUCCUUUCCCUCUGACUGUUUUGUCGUCUACUCGCCUCGAGCAAUAAAAGGUGGCGGAGACAGGACCAAAAACGACGUGCACUGCUCAGUGGCCAGUGCCCACACAGACAGACAAAUGACCUACGUACGGGGCUCGGACGGAGCACAGCCCAACUAUGGGUGUGUUUGGCAUGGCUCUGCUACACCCCAGAGCAGCUCUACUCUAAAACUCUGGGUGGAGCAGCUCUGCUCCAGAGUUUAGAUUGUUUCUCAUAACCAGUGGCAAUGGCGGGUAAAUAACUCAAAACUCCAUGACUAGGUUGCUUUUUUGGAGUUUUCAGAGCAGCAAAAGAGGUACUCCAAAAAAUUGUACUGCAGCUCCAAAAACUCCAUAGAGUUUACAACUCUGGAGUUAGGGUGUUUGACAUGCUCUGGCCAGCUCCUCCUUAGAGUUUUGCUCUGGAGCCAUGCCAAACAGGCCCUAUGUCCCUCCCCUCCCAGAGUCCCUGUCCCACUCGGCUACUCCCUCGAAUAGUCGAAUGUCUUAUUAGUUCUACAAUGUUUAAAUUAAAUUUUAAAAAUGUUAACAAUAAAUAACUAUUUUAUUAUGUAGUUUUGAAAUAUAAUGUUUAUAUGCAUCAAUUUGUCUUAACAAAUACUUUUACAAAAAUAUAAAUAUAUUACAGAUUUAUUUGAAUUUUAAAAAUAUAUCGAUCAAAGUUAUAUUUUGAGACUACGUUACAUUCUAAACCAUAACCAAUAGUACAUGCGAGGGACUAGCAGGCUAGCAGCUAGAGGACCAGGAGGAGGACGUGUGAACAGGCACACCGCCGGCACCCGACGUGUCAUGGGUCCGUUGGCCGCUGGUUCACGUGGGCGGAAGCGUGUCGUGGAGUGGGGGGGCAGCACGGGUGGGUGGGAGUGGACCGCGCAGCGGCCAGCGGGUUGGUCGUAUAUCGCCGGCCGCUCAUCAAUAGAGGUAUGGGUGAGGUACGGCGUUUCGCUGAAGUGGGCCGCGUUCCGGAGCAACCGGCCGCUCCACAGUCUUAUCAAAAAUGACCUGAGAUUUAUAUGCGCACCGGGAGUCCACACUCCACAGUCAAUGUCAACGGCUACUGAUAGUCCAGCAUUACUAGAAAAUAAUAGUACGAAUUAAAGACAAACGAAUAUGCCAGUAGAUUGCAGCUAUAUCUUAAUGACCUAAUCAUAGAUAAAAGUUUAGAGGACACAAAAACAUAGGGGUCCUGUUCAGCCGCACAACGUGCACGUGGUUGUGCACGGCCCUGAGGUUAAUCAUGGUUUUUUUUUGAACAAAGAAAAGGCAAAACAAAAACAAAGAUAAGCAUAUACAGCUCGUUAUGGUAUCCCUAUUGUCAUUUCAAGGAUACCCAUGAAAUUUCCAAAAAGAAAGAGAAGAUAAUAAACUUCCAGCAGUGGUCACCCGACAUGAGUACAGGACCCCGCGCGGCCGGGCCGCUGACAUAGGGUGACAGGCGCACAGCCAGCCUGACCAUGCCCUAGGCGGCUAGGCCGUAGGUCCCAGACCUGGCCCCUGCACCGCGUCACGUGCCCCCACGGUCCGCGCCGUGGCGUGAUGUCACCAGACCGGAGAGCCCCCGUGCCCGUGGUACGCUAGCACGCGUGCACAUCCACGGUCCACCCGCACCGUUUGAAAAAGUGGCUGUGGCUGGCUCCGCCGUAUUCUAUGCCGAGCGCCCACGACCCCCAAGCGAGCGGCGCCUGCCAUGACCUGUCUCGAAUAGUGCGGUCUUUCUUCUGGUCGCCGCCCGCCACUGUCCGCAGACGGAAAGGCGCCGCAGCACGGAGAACGAAAACUGAAGGGCAGCGGCGGAGAGGGCGGGAGCGUCACUGUCUACUACUAGUCCAGCGCCGCAGGCCGCAGCGGCGCCGCGCGGUGGAGUACGAAUCGUCGUCCGUGGAGUGCGGUGGCGAGCCCAUCCUCUGACCGCGCGCUGUCAUUCAAAGCUACAGUAUAUGGGACGGGUGAGGCAACGUCCACCGUGGGCUGCGUGCGAGUCAGUCGUCCUUGUGGUGGGUCCCUGGCGGCGCAGCCGUGGCAGAGAUGCCGUGUCGCGCUCAUGGGAGCAGCCCGCCCGGUCCGUGCCGCACGUGGUAGGAAAAUCGGGGGCAAACGCGAACGCGACGCCGCCGAAGGUUUUUGACCGUCAGCUUGUUCGCUGCGGCUUGCUGCGGCUGCAAUCCGGCUGCGGCUGCGGCUUCUACAGUAUUUUUCUCUCUAUGGAUUGCAGCUGCAGCAGUCCAAACAGCUGCAACAGUGUCGGCUUGUAGCCAGCCGAACACGCCCCGUAUUCGUGGUGGAGGUGGCGUCACCGAGUCAAGCUCAGGCAGGCUUGUCGCUUGCUUGCGCCUUGUGGUACCACGUACCAGUACCGCACUAGCACUACGAUGCUUGGGACGUCCCAUUCGUUUCCGCCUCCAUUGGCCCAACAGUAGCCGCUAGGAUGGCAACCGCCACGUUAUCCACGGGCAGAGACUCGCACCCGCACCGCUACAGUCAUAUAAUUAACGUUAAGUUGGAAGAAAAAAAAGUAAGCUACAGUCUGCUACGUAUAACACUUGCAUGAGGAAGAAACAUUUGUAUACGAUCGUGCAAAAUAUUAUUUCAUACUGUAGAGUGCAUUUGUAUCGACGAGGUGUUAGUCUUCUAAGGGGUGGAUUAUAGAAUCAUGAUCCAAGGCUUAAACGGAUUGAUAGAUUACUCAUACAACAAGGUGCACCUUUUUAAAAGCCAAACUCAAAAGAACUAAUAGGGUAAGAGAAAUUUUUAGAUAAAUGGCAGACUAGAAAAUUUUUCCACGGUGAGGACAAAGUGUGAAGGUCUAUGAUGUUAUACGGCGAGGACAGAGUGUAAUGUCUAUGAUGGACUGCCAUGUGUAACUGUCACUGAUCCAUUAGUGACUCCCAAGUUAUAUGGUAUACUUUAACACCGAAUGGGAAUCAAUAACAUUCUUGUCAGCACGCAUUAUCCCUGAUGCCACUCUCUCCCACUCUAUCGCUCUCUCAAUUGUGCAACAUCGUCGCACCGACCUCCGUCCUACGAUCAUUUUGUGCCCCGCCUCAUACGCCCGCCCUACCCCCGUCCUUGCCACGUGCACCCCACAUCCACUUGUGCAACCUCCACUUGUGCAGGCUUGUCGACACGCCGCCCUGGCCAUCCUCGACUCCCAAAGGCCGCAUCGCAACGACCGUCGGUGCUUCUAGAAGUGCCUCCCUAUCCCUGGCCCUUCUAGUAAGGAGGCACUUCUAUACCGUGUCGACCCAACCCUAACACUGGUCGAUGCCUCCCACACCCUCGGCCAACACGCAUGUGAACAAGUUUGAUUACACUUAGUUUAAUUGAAGAUGUUGAUUAUUCUCGUCGUUAUUAGUAUGGUCGACAUGAGUUAACUGUUGUUAGAGUUAGUUUAUGAUUGUGAAGCGAUAUUAGUGAUAGUUUGAUUUGGAUUAAUAUAAUUUUAAGCAUGUUACAAUUACUUUAUCUCCUUACUUUAAUAUUGUAUUACACUGUUAGCAUUUUGAAACCUACGCGUCAGCCAUGGUUAGAAAAACUACCAAUAACGAAUACGCUCACCUCCCUAACCAUUGUACCUCCCCGGCUCCCCUUUAUAGAUCUAUGCACGCAAUCACCGUUGAAGAGUUUGACUUGCCCAUCCACCUCCUACCCUUCAUGCGGGGCUUUUAGGGGUACUCACAAUAUUCCCAAUAGUAGUGUCGGGGACCAUAAUUAGGGGUACCCUCAAGACUCCUAAUUCUCAGCUGGUAACCCCCAUCAGCAUAAAGCUGCAAAGGCCUGAUGGGUGCGAUUAGUCAGGGAUCAGUCCAUUCGAGUCACUUGAUCAUGCCUCGCCCGAGCCUAGCCUCGGACAAGGGCAGCCGACCCCGGAGGAUUUCCGUCUCGCCCGAGGCCCCCCUCCAACGGCGGACACAUCUCCGGCUCGCCCGAGGCCCUGCCUUCGCUAAGAAGCAACCCUGACUAAAUCGCCGCACCGACCGACCAAAUCGCAGGAGCAUUUAACGCAAAGGUGGCCUGACACCUUUAUCCUAACGCACGCCCCCCCGGCAGAACCGAAGUGACCGCCGUCACUUCACCGCUCCACUGACCGGCCUGACAGAAGGACAGCGCCGCCUGCGCCACUCCGACUACAGUGCCAUUUGACAGAGUGAGACUGACAGGCAGUCAGGCCCUGCCAAAGGCACCAUAGGAAGCUCCGCUCCGCCCGACCCAGGGCUCGGACUCGGGCUAAGUCCCGGAAGACGGCGAACUCCGCUCCGCCCGACCCAGGGCUCGGACUCGGGCUAAGUCCCGGAAGACGGCGAACUCCGCUCCGCCCGACCCAGGGCUCGGACUCGGGCUAAGACCCGGAAGACGGCGAACUCCGCUCCGCCCGACCCAGGGCUCGGACUCGGGCUGAGACCCGGAAGACGGCGAACUCCGCUCCGCCCGACCCAGGGCUCGGACUCGGGCUCAGCCCCGGAAGACGGCGAACUCCUCUCCGCCCGACCCAGGGCUCGGACUCGGGCUGAGACCCGGAAGACGGCGAACUCCGCUCCGCCCGACCCAGGGCUCGGACUCGGGCUCAGCCCCGGAAGACGGCGAACUCCGCUCCGCCCGACCCAGGGCUCGGACUCGGGCUCAGCCCCAGAAGACGACGAACUCCGCUUCGCCCGACCCCAGGGCUCGGACUCCGCCCUGGCCUCUGCCGAACGACCUCCGCCUCGCCCGACCCAGGGGCUCGGACUCGGCCUCAGCCAUGGAAGACAGACUCGACCUCGGCUUCGGAGGAGCCUCCACAUCGACCAACCUAGGGCGCAGGCCAGCCACGUCAACAGGAAGCGCCAUCAUCACUCUACCCGGAGCUGACUCGGGACGCAGAGAACAAGACCGGUGUCCCAUCUGGCUAGCUCCGCCAGAUAGGCAAUGAUGGCGCCCCGCAUGCACUGUGACGACGGCGGCUCUCAGCUGUGACGACCGGGAAGCAGGAGGACGUCAGCAAGGACCCAACCGCUCCGACAGCUGUCCCUCCGCCAGGCUUCGUCGCUCCUCCGACGGCCACGACAUCACACCAGCUGGGUGCCAAAUUCUCUCCGGCUGCCACAUCGGCAUGUACUUAGGGCGCUAGCUCUCCCCCGCUAGACACGUAGCACUCUGCUGCACCCCCAUUGUACACCUGGAUCCUCUCCUUACGUCUAUAAAAGGAAGGACCAGGGCCCUCUUAGAGAGGGUUGGCCGCGCGGGGACGAGGACGGGGGCAGGCGCUCUCUUGGGGCCGCUCGCUUCCCUCUCCCGCGUGGACGCUUGUAACCCCCUACUGCAAGCGCACCCGACCUGGGCGCGGGACGAACACGAAGGCCACGGGAUUCCCACCUCUCUCACGCUGGUCUCCGGCCGCCUCGCUCCUUUCCCCCCUUCGCGCUCGCCCACGCGCUCGACCCAUCUGGGCUGGGGCACGCGACACUCACUCGUCGGCCCGAGGGACCCCCGGUCUCGAAACGCCGACAAGAUGGUCUAAAAAAUUCCAUAGAAAAAUAAAUAUUUUAUUUUUUUUAAUUUUUGUGACCUUCUGUCUCUAGGACCACUCUCACGCCAGACUCAGUUUGUGUUUUAUUUGCAUUUAAGAAAAUGUUAUGUAAGGGUUUUGAUAAUGUGGUAAUAUUUUCAAUAUGAAAUAUGAAAUAAAUAGAAUUUUCAUGGUAUUAUAACAACUCUCUGCCUCUCUCUCUAAGUUAUAAAAUGAAAUGUCUAUAAGACUCUAUAAUAAUUUUUUUUUAUUAAUAAUAGAUGUGUCAUCCAAAUUUUAUUUUAUUUUUGUAUGAUACGAUAGUUUCAAAAAUAAGACAACAAAAUUUCGAAAUAAUAAUGAGUAAAUACAGCAGGAGUGAAGCCAUAGUGAAUUCUCGCAUGAACCACCACCAAUCGAAGCAUUUACGAGUAAUUCCUUCCGUGGCCGACCGAGUACCCUUGCAACAAGCUGUCUUCAGAUUGAGAGCCCGGCAACAAGGAAUCGCAGCGUGCCAUGUCGGUAGCGGCCGCUUGCGGUGUGCGUACGCGCUAUGACAAACCGUCGCCGAAGCCGCCCGCGCCCCACCAAUUUACCAGGCCCCGCGCGUAGAGGCUGGUCAGCAGCUCCAUCCGCGCCUGUUUGGCAGGUUCCUUCCUAGCCCGUAGUCAGACAUGAGAACCGUAGGCACUCGAUUUUUGAACGCCCGAGCUGAGAUUGCGGCUGGCGCCAGGCACGUUUGCUUGGGUAAUGGGUAGAAACCAAAUUACUUUAUGGCGCCGCGCAGCGCCAAACGUGGAGGACUGAGCGAGGACGCGCCCGCCAGUGUCCCCACUUUCACAACGACGCACGCCCACGCCCACCGCGAACGCCUGUCCGGGCCCGCGCUUUUCUCUGCGCGCGCCUUUCCCGUAGCUCCCGGUGCGGUUUCCCGCCGUUGCUUGGAUCCAAGAGCUACUGGGCCACGCGGCGGAAAAAAGCCGCCGCACACGGCGCCACAGCGAGCAAGGGAGCAGAAGCGGAGCGCGCGGCCAUUUCCGUGCCCCCGCGGCCGCGCUGCUCUCCGCCACGCCCAACUGGCAGUGAGUACAGUACGAGAGCAUGCAUGCGCAGGUCCCGGCAUGCCAUCAGCGCCGAUCGGUGCCCCCUCCGUGCACGCACGUCUCAGUCAAUGCCCCCACGCUCCCCACCGCGCCUCCCCCGCUCCCUCACACGUCCACGUCCCGCGUUACGUGCGCCCAUUGCUUUCCUCCAGUCCCCGCGCCCGGCCUCGUCGCUGAUUGAUUCCUACCCUUGCCCUCGGGCGUGGGUUCCCUGCCGUCCAGGCCAGGUCCAGCAAGGAAAAAUGGUACAGAGUGCACAGCCACACUCUCAAAAAGGUCCAAACAGUACUAGCCGCACCGUGAAUUUGAGAUCUUUUCCAAUCCUGUUACUUCUAGAUUCUAAAUACGAAAACGAAUAUUACUGGUUUACAUGUAAACAGCCGUGCAGAGAAAUUUUUAAUAUUUUAUUAAAAUGUUUUUUUUAAAAAAAAAAACCCAAAGGAGUAGGCCCAGUCGCAUAGCCGCAGCCGUAUGAAGUCAUGCACCGCAGAGUAGUCGUACAUAAUUAUUAGGCGCACCAAGAAAGCCAACGCAUGUAGUAAAGCGGCAGUGAUCCGGAGGCGAGGCGCGGCGCGGCGCGCGGGCCCCACGGCGAGGAGAAGCUGCCGGCUGCCGCCGCGCGAAUCACUGCCCCCUGAUGCCGCUCCUCCAGCUGCGCCAGGCCCACAGCUGUCGGCCGAGAGAGACCACGCCCGGCCCGGUCCUCGCGCCGCAUCCGGAGUACGCGGCCGCCCCGAACACGGAACACGCCCGCGGUCCCAGCGAGGCGCCCAGCCACAGCGGGGCGCGCGCAGGGGAUCCCUCCGCAGCCGGCAACGACGACGACGGGGCCUGCCUUGGCUGCGGGCACACGUGUCGCGCGGGACCCCCCCUGCCCACACGCACACGUUAUUAUUAUUCUCAAGGUCACGAGUAGCACACCGCAGCCGCGAUUCCGUCGUACUCGUACGAACCGAUCGUCGCCGGCGCGGAAAGGUGCAGGUGCAGCCACCCCACCGCUCGAGGAGUCGUCCUCGUCCCGUCCACACCUGCCUCCUGCCCAAGGCCCACGACUCCCCGCUCGGCUCAACCUCGCAUCGCAUCUGCCUUUUUUUUCUUCUUUCUCACGGAUCUGUACUGUACGCGGCCGCCCUGCCGUCUACUUGACGCUGCCAUACCACCAUGGAAUUCAAAAUUAUUUCGUCGCCGCUUGGGCCGUGGUGCGGUGAGAACGAUGAUUACUGUCGUUAUAUGGCGUAGCGUGGAAAGCAGCAGCGCAAACAAGUGGCUCCUUCCUCUGCAGUUCUGCUUCAAAUCAGAAGUAAACUUGUCAGCUGAUGAGCACGUCGUUUGGCUCCAAAUCAGCCUCGUCAAGGAGGAAACAACGGCCAUGCAGAAUGAGACGCGUCCCUGACCAAACCAGAAGUAAACUUGUCGUGUCACCGUGACGGCAACAAAAUAGUCUUCAAUGGAAGAUCGACAGGAAACGUCUGAAGCUUCACCGGAGACAUUUCUUUGGAUCGUUUUUUUUUCGUCAACAAUCAUAUCCUCAGUAUACAUAGAAAUUAAUCAACAUGCUCCAUGGUUUAAAGCCCAUAUCAACGCCGGUUUGAUCUGUCCAGACACACGAACAGAUCUACUCCGUCUCGGCGGAAAAAAAAAACACUACAGUACUAUGUACAAGGCUCCACCAUAUCAUAGUCUACACUCUACAUGCAAGAAAAAAAAAAGACCAAACACCCAGAGCUACACUACAAUUCCUGAUGAAGGCCAAAAGGGAAAAAGGAAACUGCAAAGUCGUCAGCUGAAAACUCCGGUGCGACUAGUUCUCUGCCGGCGGCGGCCAGUUCAGAUCCAGUUCGAAGCUGACCUCCUUCUUUGCCGUCACCGCGGGAGGCGAACAGGUGCGAUCAACCACAGACGAGGAGUCGGAGUCGCUCUGCGCGACGGCGGCUACGGUGACUGGAGCUGAGGCGACCUUGAACAUCCUGUACCCGGCUGCCGCGGCCGCCGCGGCCUGGUUGUAGAGGAAGUACUGAUGUGGGGUCGGGCGCACGACGGGGAAGGCCUUGAACGGAAAGGGCAUGCCGCCGGUGGUGACCGCGCUGACGGCGGCCGCCCGGUGGAAGAGAUCGAGGUCGAGGGCCGGGGUCAGCGGCAUGGCCGCCUGCACAGGCGCUUCGACGCCACACCCGCUGCCGCCACAGCUCGAUUCCAAGGUGGUGCUGUCGCUGCUGGGGCUACCAGCACCGCCGGCGACGGCGACGGCGAGGGGGAACGGGAAGUUAGUCUUGGCCUUGGCGCCACGGAACUCGCGGGCGGCGACGUCGUAGGCCUUGGCGGCCUCCUCGGCCGUGUCGUACGUGCCCAGCCACACGCGACUCUUCUUGGCUGGGUCGCGGAUCUCCGCGGCGUAGCGUCCCCACGGCCGCUUCCUCACGCCUCGGUAGUGUGGACCCAAGCCCAUGCCUCCGACUCCUCCGCCAACGCCAAGCUUCAGGCCGGUGGCCAGCGGCAAUGGCGACUUGUCCGCCACCCGGGGCGCCAUGGUGCACAAGUGGCGUGUGUGCGCGGGUCUUCCGGUUCAGCGAGGUCGUGUGGAGAAGCGAUGUGUGUGUGUGUGUGGCGUCUAGGAUAAGGCAAGGGGGAUUGGGCAGCAUUUAUAGGCAGACGAGUGGGCUAAAAAAGGACAAUAGCUCUAUUCACCCGCCUCCUCCUAUCUUAUAUUUUAUCAAGUAUUUUAAACUUCACUUUGUAAUUAAUAUAGCUUACCGUUUGUACCUAACAAAAGAUACAUCUUAUUCAGAUACUGUUUGAGAUAGCUUAACUUCAAAAAUUUCAACUCAAUUCUAACUUUUUUCUACAUAAACAGAUACAACUCCACGAGCUCUAGCUUUUUUAGAAAAAUCGAAACUAGAGACCAGUUCAUAUAAUUCAUGAAGCUCCUUAGAGGCUACUUUUAGAAACACUGUUUCUAUAUAUUCUCAUGAAGCUGUACGAAAAUAUCCACCAUGCCACUGUUAUACAACAUACAACUUCUGAAAAAUCAAUUGUACUAUAUAAAUUGGGACUUGAGGCCCGACAGAUCUGAUGCUAAAUUUACCCGGUUCUUGUUCUCCAAACGGUAAUGUCAGGGCCUGAUCAUCUACUACUCUCUAUCAUGGGUUAGUUUUUGACUUUUUGUCGACACUGGAUUUCUCAGACGACUUGAGCAAGAACCUCCCGAUGCGGCAAUCCCAAUGUGACGGAUGAGCUCCACCCGGUGCGGCAAGCCCAGCCUCGAUCUUGUCUCGUCUCGUCUCGUGAGGUCUGGCCAUGGUCAUCCAAUCCAGGAGGAGGGAAACGACGAAGACGAGCAGAGGGAGGCGAAGUCAGGCCAUAACUGGACAGGCGAGUCGCGCGCGGCAGAUCAAAAUCACAUGAGCCGAGUCGCGCGCUAACGGCGAGAUCAGGAUCAGCGCGCGGCGCAGAAAGGACCGCGCC